AUUGAACGCUGGCGGCAGGCCUAACACAUGCAAGUCGAACGAGCGGCGCGCGGGUGUGUAAUGUAUGGAGAUCUGCCCGAUAGAGGGGGAUAACCACUGGAAACGGUCGCUAGUACCACAUACUAUCGGAUGCACACAUAUGGGAUUAGCUAGUAGGGGGGGUAAAGGCUCACCUAGGCGACGAUCUCUAGCUGGUCUGAGAGGAUGAUCAGCCACACUGGAACUGAGACACGGCCCAGACUCCUAAGGGAGGCAGCAGGGGGGAAUAUUGCACAAUGGGCGCAAGCCUGAUGCAGCCAUGACGCGUGUAUGAAGAAGGACUUAGGGUUGUAAAGUACUUUCAGCGGGGAGGCGUUACCCGCAGAAGAAGCACCGGCUAACUCCGUGUCAGCAGCCGCGGUAAUAC
rnacentral:rRNA from 1 species